rnacentral:lncRNA from 1 species
GUGAUUGUUGCCCCCCGCCUCGCCCAAAAAAAAAAAAAAAAAAAAAAAGACAAAAAUUUCUAAACAUACAAGCUCCUUUUCUCUCUCCCCAGCUACCCCAAAUCAGCUCCCCUUCAACCCAUUUCCUCCCAAAAAAGAAAAUCACACAACGGAAAUUCUAAACGGAGAGGGACAGAUAGAAUUGGGGCGGCAAAACAUGAAGCCCUUUUUACUACUGCCGGCCAAGGUGCAUGUUUCUACAAAGAACCUGGCAUUGAAGCUCCCACUCCUCCAGUCCAGCCUAUUCUCCAUCUCCGGCACCGGGUCAUUACAUUCUACGAGGAACCCGGCAUUGAAGGUCCCACUCCUCCUAUCCAUCUUCUGCACUCCAACUUAUUCUCCAUUACUAGAUCUUUUUGUAACAGAUUUAGUUAGCAUUAUUGUAUAUAUACUACAAGCUUGUAUCAUUUCAUACAUAGAAAAAUAUACUGAAAUUUUGAUCCAUCUUUAUUUUUUGUGGAUAAUGUUGGCCAUUUUCUGAACUUUGCUUUGCAAAUGGGUAAAUGUUGAAGGUUUAAGGAGUUUUUAGGACUCCGAGAAUUUGCUAAAUAGUUUCUUCAGACUUUUUAAGUAUUUAUAAUUGCAUAAUUUGUGUAUAUUUUCUGUUUAUGCAUUUUUAUUUAAUGGAGAAAAUUUGGAAACUUGAAUUUGAGAUGAAGGCUGUAACUAGUGGUUGAAAACAUUUAUUAAUCCUAAAUGGAAAAUUGUAGAUGUCUAAAUCUGCGUUUAUUUGCUUCUUUCUUCUGUCUUCUUCCCUUUCUCUGUCUCUGUCAAAUCUCCUUCACGUCCCGCUUUAACAACUGACCGGAGCGGGGGGGGGGGGGGGAGGAGCGAGUAGACUGCUGGAAUUGAGCGACUGCCGGAGAUGGGAUGACGCCGGAGGUUCGAGGACUGUCGGAGCAGAGCGGCUGCCGGAGGUUAAUGCUUCGGAGAGGAGAUGAGUUUGAGAAAAAGGGUUUGAUUUGGGGAAAUUGGUGGAGAAACAUGAUUUUGGAUUUUAGGUUUUAAAGUUUUAAAGAUUUUAUUUUUUUUAUUUUUUUUUAACAUUAGUGCCACGUCAAUUUGUUAACCUGCACUUUGUAAGUCUAGCGGGAUUGACCAAAUCAACAUCUAGGACGUAGGUCCUAGCUGGGGAAAUUAAAUAUUUUAAGCCUUACAACACCGAUGUCAUUCCACAUACGUCCAAAUUGUUGUACCAAUUUUAA